rnacentral:rRNA from 1 species
AUGUGUCUUCCAAAAGACAAGGGAGACAUGGGGUUUAGGGAUAUCCAUGCAUUUAAUUUAGCCAUGUUAGCCAAGCAAAGCUAGAGAAUGAUAACUUAUGCUGAUACUCUUUGUGCUACGGUCUUAUGAGCGAAGUACUUUUCUGAUGGAAACAUUCUGAAGGCAUGGCUAAAAAAGGGAUCAUUGUUUAUUUGGUAGAGUAUCUUCGAUGGUCUUCAAACGUUCAGGAGUGGGCAUAUUUGGUGA